UAUGUGAUCGUCUCUCGCAUAUCAAUAAGCGGAGGAAAAGAAACUAACAAGGAUUCCCCUAGUAACGGCGAGUGAAGCGGGAAGAGCUCAAAUUUGAAAUCUUAAAGGGUUUCCCUUUACGAAUUGUAGUUUAAAGAAGUGUUUUCUGUUGAGGUUUUGGUAAAAGUUCUUUGGAAUAGGACAUCAUAGAGGGUGAGAAUCCCGUAUUUGACCUUUACUUUCAACUUUGUGAUACACUUUCAAAGAGUCGGAUUGUUUGGGAAUGCAGUCCAAAAUGGGUGGUAAAUUUCAUCUAAAGCUAAAUAUUGGCGAGAGACCGAUAGCGAACAAGUACCGUGAGGGAAAGAUGAAAAGAACUUUGAAAAGAGAGUUAAACAGUACGUGAAAUUGUCAAAAGGGAAGCGUUUGACACCAGUGUUGUUUUUCUGAAAAUCAAUUAAAGAACUGUUUAUGCUAAGUUGUUUAGACUUUAUCAGCUAACUGUUUAGUUUUGAGCUUUUCUUUAAUGCACUUUUCAGUUAACAAGUCAACAUCAAUUUCUUUUGCUGUAAAAAAGCUUGAGGAAGGUGGCUUGAGAUUCGUCUUAAGUGUUUAUAGCCUCUUGCCUAUGCAGUCGGAGAGAUUGAGGUCUGCAGCGUAGAUCCUUCGGGGCUAAAUGCAUUUGUGCUAAGUUAUAGCAUUUUAUAGACAACUUGUUGACUAUGAUUUGUCUUGUAGCUUACUCGCUUAUGUUAUUUUACCUACGCUUAGGAUGUUGAUCUACAGAGCGAGAG
rnacentral:rRNA from 1 species